GGGUUGUGAGGUUAAGCGACUAAGCGUACACGGUGGAUGCCCUGGCAGUCAGAGGCGAUGAAGGGCGUGCUAAUCUGCGAUAAGCGCCGGUAAGGUGAUAUGAACCGUUAUAACCGGCGAUACCCGAAUGGGGAAACCCAGUGUGAUUCGUCACACUAUCAUUAACUGAAUCCAUAGGUUAAUGAGGCGAACCGGGGGAACUGAAACAUCUAAGUACCCCGAGGAAAAGAAAUCAACCGAGAUUCCCCCAGUAGCGGCGAGCGAACGGGGAGGAGCCCAGAGCCUGAAUCAGCAUGUGUGUUAGUGGAAGCGUCUGGAAAGGCGCGCGAUACAGGGUGACAGCCCCGUACACAAAAGCGCAUAUGCUGUGAGCUCGAUGAGUAGGGCGGGACACGUGGUAUCCUGUCUGAAUAUGGGGGGACCAUCCUCCAAGGCUAAAUACUCCUGACUGACCGAUAGUGAACCAGUACCGUGAGGGAAAGGCGAAAAGAACCCCGGCGAGGGGAGUGAAAAAGAACCUGAAACCGUGUACGUACAAGCAGUGGGAGCCCCACCACUAAGCCAGUGGUGAACUCCACAUACGCAUCCUUUGCUGAGGAGACGGUUAACGGAGCGAAAGCGACGUUCAACCUCAAAAGAAGCAGAGGGGGCUUAGUGGUGGGGUGACUGCGUACCUUUUGUAUAAUGGGUCAGCGACUUAUAUUCUGUAGCAAGGUUAACUGUAUAGGGGAGCCGGAGGGAAACCGAGUCUUAACCGGGCGUUAAGUUGCAGGGUAUAGACCCGAAACCCGGUGAUCUAGCCAUGGGCAGGUUGAAGGUUGGGUAACACUAACUGGAGGACCGAACCGACUAAUGUUGAAAAAUUAGCGGAUGACCUGUGGCUGGGGGUGAAAGGCCAAUCAAACCGGGAGAUAGCUGGUUCUCCCCGAAAGCUAUUUAGGUAGCGCCUCGUGAAUUCAUCUCCGGGGGUAGAGCACUGUUUCGGCUAGGGGGCCAUCCCGGCUUACCAACCCGAUGCAAACUGCGAAUACCGGAGAAUGUUAUCACGGGAGACACACGGCGGGUGCUAAUGUCCGUCGUGAAGAGGGAAACAACCCAGACCGCCAGCUAAGGUCCCAAAGUCAUGGUUAAGUGGGAAACGAUGUGGGAAGGCCCAGACAGCCAGGAUGUUGGCUUAGAAGCAGCCAUCAUUUAAAGAAAGCGUAAUAGCUCACUGGUCGAGUCGGCCUGCGCGGAAGAUGUAACGGGGCUAAACCAUGCACCGAAGCUGCGGCAGCGACACCGUGUGUUGUUGGGUAGGGGAGCGUUCUGUAAGCCUGUGAAGGUGUGCUGUGAGGCAUGCUGGAGGUAUCAGAAGUGCGAAUGCUGACAUAAGUAACGAUAAAGCGGGUGAAAAGCCCGCUCGCCGGAAGACCAAGGGUUCCUGUCCAACGUUAAUCGGGGCAGGGUGAGUCGACCCCUAAGGCGAGGCCGAAAGGCGUAGUCGAUGGGAAACGGGUUAAUAUUCCCGUACUUGGUGUUACUGCGAAGGGGGGACGGAGAAGGCUAUGUUGGCCGGGCGACGGUUGUCCCGGUUUAAGCGUGUAGGUAUGUGUUCCAGGUAAAUCCGGUUCACUUUAACACUGAGGCGUGACGACGAGGCACUACGGUGCUGAAGCAACAAAUGCCCUGCUUCCAGGAAAAGCCUCUAAGCAUCAGGUAACAUCAAAUCGUACCCCAAACCGACACAGGUGGUCAGGUAGAGAAUACCAAGGCGCUUGAGAGAACUCGGGUGAAGGAACUAGGCAAAAUGGUGCCGUAACUUCGGGAGAAGGCACGCUGACACGUAGGUGAAGUGAUUUACUCACGGAGCUGAAGUCAGCCGAAGAUACCAGCUGGCUGCAACUGUUUAUUAAAAACACAGCACUGUGCAAACACGAAAGUGGACGUAUACGGUGUGACGCCUGCCCGGUGCCGGAAGGUUAAUUGAUGGGGUCAGCGCAAGCGAAGCUCCUGAUCGAAGCCCCGGUAAACGGCGGCCGUAACUAUAACGGUCCUAAGGUAGCGAAAUUCCUUGUCGGGUAAGUUCCGACCUGCACGAAUGGCGUAAUGAUGGCCAGGCUGUCUCCACCCGAGACUCAGUGAAAUUGAACUCGCUGUGAAGAUGCAGUGUACCCGCGGCAAGACGGAAAGACCCCGUGAACCUUUACUAUAGCUUGACACUGAACAUUGAGCCUUGAUGUGUAGGAU
rnacentral:rRNA from 1 species